rnacentral:rRNA from 1 species
GAUGAACGCUAGCUACAGGCUUAACACAUGCAAGUCGAGGGACCGGCGCACGGGUGAGUAACACGUAUCCAACCUGCCCUUUACUCGGGGAUAGCCUUUCGAAAGAAAGAUUAAUACCCGAUAUAAAGGAUGGGGGUGCGUUACAUUAGGUUGUUGGUGCGGGAACGGCCCACCAAGCCUUCGAUGGAUAGGGGUUCUGAGAGGAAGGAACACUACAUCGGAAAUGAGACCCGGACCAAACGCCUACGGGAGGCAGCAGUGGGGAAUAUUGGUCAAUGGGCGCUAGCCUGAAACAGCCAAGGAGCGUGAAGGAUGAAUGCUUUGGCGUCGUACACUUCUUAGAUAUAAGAAUAUGUAUUAGAUGAAUAAGGAUCGGCUAACUCCGUGCCAGCAGCCGCGGUAAUAC